GACGAACGCUGGCGGCGUGCUUAACACAUGCAAGUCGAACGGUAAGGCCCCAGCUUGCUGGGGUACACGAGUGGCGAACGGGUGAGUAACACGUGGGUGACCUGCCCCGCACUUCGGGAUAAGCCUGGGAAACUGGGUCUAAUACCGCAUAGGACCGCACCGUGAGGGUGUGGUGGAAAGUUUUUCGGUGUGGGAUGGGCCCGCGGCCUAUCAGCUUGUUGGUGGGGUAAUGGCCUACCAAGGCGGCGACGGGUAGCCGGCCUGAGAGGGUGGACGGCCACAUUGGGACUGAGACACGGCCCAGACUCCUACGGGAGGCAGCAGUGGGGAAUAUUGCACAAUGGGCGGAAGCCUGAUGCAGCGACGCCGCGUGGGGGAUGACGGCCUUCGGGUUGUAAACUCCUUUCACCAUCGACGAAGGUUUUCUGACGGUAGAUGGAGAAGAAGCACCGGCUAACUACGUG
rnacentral:rRNA from 1 species